rnacentral:rRNA from 1 species
AUACGUAGGGGGCUAGCGUUAUCCGGAUUUACUGGGCGUAAAGGGUGCGUAGGUGGUCUUUCAAGUCGGUGGUUAAAGGCUACGGCUCAACCGUAUUAAGCCGCCGAAACUGGAAGACUUGAGUGCAGGAGAGGAAAGUGGAAUUCCUAGUGUAGCGGUGAAAUGCGUAGAUAUUAGGAGGAACACCAGUAGCGAAGGCGGCUUUCUGGACUGUAACUGACACUGAGGCACGAAAGCGUGGGGAGC